rnacentral:rRNA from 1 species
AAUCAACGCUGGCGGCGUGCCUCAGACAUGCAAGUCGAACGAUUAAAGCUCUCUUCGGAGAGUGCAUAAAGUGGCGCACGGGUGAGUAACACGUAAGUAAUCUACCUUCGAGUGGGGAAUAACGUCCGGAAACGGACGCUAAUACCGCAUAACGCAGCGGCAUCGCAAGAUGACAGUUGUUAAAGAUUUAUCGCUUGAAGAGGAGCUUGCGGCAGAUUAGCUUGUUGGUAAGGUAACGGCUUACCAAGGCUACGAUCUGUAUCCGGUCUAAGAGGACGGUCGGACACACUGACACUGAAUAACGGGUCAGACUCCUACGGGAGGCAGCAGUCGGGAAUUUUGGGCAAUGGGGGAAACCCUGACCCAGCAACGCCGCGUGAGUGAAGAAGGCCUCGGGUCGUAAGCU